UGAUUCAGGCUCAGGACGAACGCUGGCGGCGUGCCUAAUACAUGCAAGUCGAGCGGACAGAUGGGAGCUUGCUCCCUGAUGUUAGCGGCGGACGGGUGAGUAACACGUGGGUAACCUGCCUGUAAGACUGGGAUAACUCCGGGAAACCGGGGCUAAUACCGGAUGCUUGUUUGAACCGCAUGGUUCAAACAUAAAAGGUGGCUUCGGCUACCACUUACAGAUGGACCCGCGGCGCAUUAGCUAGUUGGUGAGGUAACGGCUCACCAAGGCAACGAUGCGUAGCCGACCUGAGAGGGUGAUCGGCCACACUGGGACUGAGACACGGCCCAGACUCCUACGGGAGGCAGCAGUAGGGAAUCUUCCGCAAUGGACGAAAGUCUGACGGAGCAACGCCGCGUGAGUGAUGAAGGUUUUCGGAUCGUAAAGCUCUGUUGUUAGGGAAGAACAAGUACCGUUCGAAUAGGGCGGUACCUUGACGGUACCUAACCAGAAAGCCACGGCUAACUACGUGCCAGCAGCCGCGGUAAUACGUAGGUGGCAAGCGUUGUCCGGAAUUAUUGGGCGUAAAGGGCUCGCAGGCGGUUUCUUAAGUCUGAUGUGAAAGCCCCCGGCUCAACCGGGGAGGGUCAUUGGAAACUGGGGAACUUGAGUGCAGAAGAGGAGAGUGGAAUUCCACGUGUAGCGGUGAAAUGCGUAGAGAUGUGGAGGAACACCAGUGGCGAAGGCGACUCUCUGGUCUGUAACUGACGCUGAGGAGCGAAAGCGUGGGGAGCGAACAGGAUUAGAUACCCUGGUAGUCCACGCCGUAAACGAUGAGUGCUAAGUGUUAGGGGGUUUCCGCCCCUUAGUGCUGCAAGCCAU
rnacentral:rRNA from 1 species